AUUGAACGCUGGCGGCAUGCUUUACACAUGCAAGUCGAACGGUAACAGGCCUUCGGGUGCUGACGAGUGGCGAACGGGUGAGUAAUGCAUCGGAACAUACCCAGUCGUGGGGGAUAACGUAGCGAAAGUUACGCUAAUACCGCAUAUUCUGUGAGCAGGAAAGCAGGGGAUCGCAAGACCUUGCGCUGAUUGAGCGGCCGAUAUCAGAUUAGCUAGUUGGUGAGGUAAAGGCUCACCAAGGCGACGAUCUGUAGCGGGUCUGAGAGGAUGAUCCGCCACACUGGAACUGAGACACGGUCCAGACUCCUACGGGAGGCAGCAGUGGGGAAUUUUGGACAAUGGACGCAAGUCUGAUCCAGCAAUGCCGCGUGCAGGACGAAGGCCUUCGGGUUGUAAACUGCUUUUGUACUAGAACGAAAGGGACUCUGGUUAAUACCUGGGGCAGAUGACGGUACUGUAAGAAUAAGCACCGG
rnacentral:rRNA from 1 species